rnacentral:tRNA from 1 species
GUGCCCGUAGCUCAAUUGGAUAGAGUGCAGGCCUCCGGAGCCUGAGGCUGUGGGUUCGAUUCCCGCCGGGCACA